CCAAAAACCAUUUCUUGGCUAGUUUGAAGAAAUUCUAAGGAGAUCCAAGUGAAAUCAAAGCCAAAGAAGUGGAUUAAGCUUAGUUCUAGCCUUUUUAUGGAUAAGCACAUCAACACCUAAGACACCACUUGUUACACGGUGAAUUAUAUUUUGGACAGAAGGUAGAGAAAGAAAUGAGUGAAUGACAUAAGGAGAACUGAAGCAUGGUCCUGACCCUGAUUUGUACAUAUGAACACAUCGACCUUUU